rnacentral:misc_RNA from 1 species
AAAGUCGUAACAAGGUAUCCGUUGGUGAACCAGCGGAUGGAUCAUUACCGAUAAAAUAUACGCCAACUUUGGUGUGGUUGACUGCAAGUUAACCUCUGGUUUGGCUGGUUAAUCAGCCUGCCAGUACUCGUAGUGUGCAAGGAGUCGCACGCUUGAUGAGUGAAGGGAUUGUUGGAAUGGGCAAGACUUUGUCCAGGUGAGAUGCCUCCUCAAUCCCUGAGACAGCCAUUGACUUGACUGAAGCGAUUGUCUUAAAAAGAACAACUGCUGGCCGUGGAUCACUUGGCUGAC